ensembl:lncRNA novel transcript
AAAACAUAGAAUGUGCCUACCCUCCACCCAGUGCUUGAACAUCCCUUCCCCCUCAUCACUCCGGGGAAGGAUCCUGCUCAACACCCAACUACUCAUUCAAACCUGGAACCCGAAACUUUAAUGAAGGUUGCUCUACUGAGAUUUUUCUCCCCACCGAACAUGUCUGUGACCCACAAAGAAGCCCAUGAAAGAAAGUGCCCAGAGAAACCAGAGCUGUGGAAGGCUGGCUCGACGGUGCCCCUCACUGCCCCUGAGAAAACAGACCCAUUUCCUCUCUGCCCACCUCUUUCCCUGACAUGUCCCCAGCAGCAGUCCUGUAUUCCCAGUUCCUCUCAAGAUGUUCUGAAUAGUCUCUGGGUAUCCUCUCAUUGCCUUCAACUCAAGAUAUCUAAAACCAAAACUCAUUGUCUUCCCACUCAAAACGUCCUCCCCUUUCUGCUGCCAACCCCAGUCAGUAUUGUCUGCAGGCUUCCAGGCUUGGAUCCUUGACUCACGGCCACCCAAGCUUCCUUCCCCCGUGUGCGAUUAGUCAGUAAGUCUUAGUAGUGAUGAGGGCUUCCUGCACCGUGACUGUCCGGCAUGCUUUUUCCUCUCCCAUUUCCUCAGCCACCAGCAAUUCCAGGCCCCUCUUUACUUCGUAUGUAUUCUAGCGAGAUCAACUGGCAAGACAAAGCUCAGACGUCACCUCCAGAAGGUUUUCAUGGCUUGUGAUAAUCUGGCUUCACCUGUAUUCUACUUCAUGAGACAACUGACUAUCUCGUGGCCUCUUCCCUGUGGCCUCCAUCUCUCUUUGCAGCUCCAGUCCCUGGCACAUGCUUGGCACACAGCUCACUGCAGCUGCUCAAUGAGUUUUGUGGACUGGAUGUUUGCUUGUGGGAAGUGGAAGCAGGGACCAGAUGGAUGGGCAGAAGGAUUGUCCUAUUCAAAUAUGCACUGGUGGUCCUGUCUUGUGUUUGGGCACCAGUUGAAUCCAAGAGCUCUCAACCUGUGGAGUGUCGGAUGAAAUCUAUGGAAUCCCUCCUCAGAAAAGCAAAUGAACCCACACAAUGAUGGCGCAGUUUCAUUGUCAUCAGCCUCCUGAGGCGUAUCCACAAUCACCAGGAUAUGGGAACAAAGGAAUUGUGUUUAAAUGUAAAAAAGAAGUUCUAGAAUUUCCACAGAAUUUACAUUCUUCUUGUUGUAAGGAAUAUGCCUGGUAAUGGAACUCAAAUAUCAGCUUGGAUCGCCCUGGCCUUUGAAAUUUGAGGUAAAAUUAGGCUUAAGCCGUAUCCAGCGCACAACAGAAACCUCAGUGUCUCCCACCCAGGGACUGUCUCGGAGGCUGUGUGUUCAGAUGUCACUUCUGCCUCCCGGCAUCUGCUCCUGAGUUUUCACUCUUCAGCCUCCCCUCCCAAGGCCUCCUUCCUACCCUGGCACUGGGCUUCUUGCCCCGUCCCCCUAGAAUCCGUGGCACAGGGGCUUUAUCUGUGUGGAGUCUCUACAGACGGUUAGAAACACAGAGUCAGCUAGAAAUUAAGCAGUAGGCAGCUGUGAUGUUUUUUGACAGCCUCAUUUCUAAAACCCCUUCAGCAACCCCAGUCAAGGAGCUUCUCCCUCUAGACUCCAGCCUCCUGCUGAGUCACCUGCACCGUCUCUGCCUUCCUCCCCUUCCUCACAUCCUCCCUGGCCCCAUCUUCCAAUUCCUCUGAACUUCUGCAGAGCAGCCAGCUCUUCCUCCAGCUUCAACUUCCCCACCCCAAGCAGGUGGGGCAUCCUGACCCUGAGCAAAAGCAGUUCUCUCCCUAAGAAACACCGGUGACUUUUGUUCAUGGCACUCCAUGGAUGCAAAGCUCUGAGUUCUGUUGAACAGGGACUCACCUACGAGUGGUGGUGCUAUCAGCUGAGACGGGAAGCAGCACUCAGUAGAAGAAGAAAAGGCCUGGACUGGUGUGGGCAUGCACUGGCUCGUGAGAAGCAGGGAAGGUCGCUCUUAUGGGUCCCGUUUCUAAGUGACGUUCACGGCCUGGC